rnacentral:rRNA from 1 species
AUGUGUUCUAAUUUCUGCCCUUGCACCGACCAUCCAACGGACCAUGGAUUAAACGGCCACUGCCUGAAAGGACUAUGCUAUGUCCAGGGGACCGCCGGUUCUAACCGCCUUUCCUUUAAGUUUCAGUAUUUGAAACUCUUUCUAGAAUUAUAUUGUUUAUUUAGUAUAGAAUAG